ACUAAAGUACUUACUGAGCUUGAAUUUACAAUUCAAAGAGUGAAAGUGAUGACAACACCAGAUGGGAAAGUUAUAGACCUAUUCUUCAUCACAGAUGGCAUGGAGCUUUUACACACAGAAAAAAGGCGAGGUGACACAUGUAGACAUUUGGUUUCUGUUUUCAAAGAGUGUUGCAUCAGUUGCGAACUUCAACUGGCAGGACCUGAAUA
rnacentral:misc_RNA from 1 species